rnacentral:tRNA from 1 species
GGAGAGAUGGCUGAGCUGGUCUAAGGCGCACGACUGGAAAUCGUGUGUACCCACAAAAUGGGUACCGAGGGUUCGAAUCCCUCUCUCUCCG